UGCCCCAUAGCCAAGCGGUAAGGCUGCAGACUCUGAAUCUGCCAUGCGCUAGUUCGAAUCUAGCUGGGGCAGCCA
rnacentral:tRNA from 1 species